rnacentral:rRNA from 1 species
UACGUAGGGGGCAAGCGUUGUCCGGAUUUAUUGGGCGUAAAGAGCGUGUAGGCGGCCAUUCAGGUCAGCUGUGAAAACUCGAGGCUCAACCUCGAGACGUCGGUUGAAACCGUCUGGCUAGAGUCCGGAAGAGGAGAGUGGAAUUCCCGGUGUAGCGGUGAAAUGCGCAGAUAUCGGAAAGAACACCCGUGGCGAAGGCGGCUCUCUGGGACGGUACGUGACGCUGAGACGCGAAAGCGUGGGGAGCGAACGAG